GACGUAGGUGGCAAGCGUUUGUCCGGAGUUAUUGGGCGUAAAGCGCGCGCAGGCGGUUCGGUAAGUCCAUGGUGAAAGCGCCCGGCUCAACUGGGCGAGUGCCGUGGGGACUGCCGAGCUGGAGGGGAGCAGAGGCGAGUGGAAUUCCGGGUGUAGUGGUGAAAUGCGUAGAGAUCCGGAGGAACACCAGUGGCGAAGGCGGCUCGCUGGGCUCUACCUGACGCUGAGGCG
rnacentral:rRNA from 1 species